GUCGAACGAUGAUGCCCAGCUUGCUGGGUGGAUUAGUGGCGAACGGGUGAGUAACACGUGAGUAACCUGCCCCUGACUCUGGGAUAAGCGUUGGAAACGACGUCUAAUACUGGAUAUGACUGCCGGCCGCAUGGUCUGGUGGUGGAAAGAUUUUUUGGUUGGGGAUGGACUCGCGGCCUAUCAGCUUGUUGGUGAGGUAAUGGCUCACCAAGGCGACGACGGGUAGCCGGCCUGAGAGGGUGACCGGCCACACUGGGACUGAGACACGGCCCAGACUCCUACGGGAGGCAGCAGUGGGGAAUAUUGCACAAUGGGCGAAAGCCUGAUGCAGCAACGCCGCGUGAGGGAUGACGGCCUUCGGGUUGUAAACCUCUUUUAGUAGGGAAGAAGCGAAAGUGACGGUACCUGCAGAAAAAGCACCGGCUAACUACGUGCCAGCAGCCGCGGUAAUACGUAGGGUGCAAGCGUUGUCCGGAAUUAUUGGGCGUAAAGAGCUCGUAGGCGGUUUGUCGCGUCUGCUGUGAAAUCCCGAGGCUCAACCUCGGGCUUGCAGUGGGUACGGGCAGACUAGAGUGCGGUAGGGGAGAUUGGAAUUCCUGGUGUAGCGGUGGAAUGCGCAGAUAUCAGGAGGAACACCGAUGGCGAAGGCAGAUCUCUGGGCCGUAACUGACGCUGAGGAGCGAAAGCAUGGGGAGCGAACAGGA
rnacentral:rRNA from 1 species